rnacentral:ncRNA from 1 species
AAAAAACACAGGACUCUGCGAAGUCGAAAAGACGACGUAUAGGGUCUGAUGCCUGCCCGGUGCUGGAAGGUUAAGGGGAUAUGUCAGGGGCAACCCGAAGCAUUGAACCGAAGCCCCAGUAAACGGCGGCCGUAACUAUGAAUUGACUGACCGUUGUAGUUACGUAAAUAAAUCUGGCUAUAUGCUGGAACACCCGGUUGAGACAUUGGUACUCGCGACUAGGUACUUCGGUGCCGAAGAGGGUCGCAGUGACAAUUCAAUGUGGACGGGCAAUCAGCAGGAAAGGCUCGA